AAGAAAUCUUGUUCACACAAAUAGUGAUCUCUUUUCUAUGAUUCCUUUUCUGUGAACAUUCAGGACUAUCUGAACGAAAUGGGACCCCCAUCUCCUGCCACUUCUGGAGAACAAACAACCCACUCAAAACCAUUUACCCAUCAUCACUGUCCAGAUCAUUGCACAGGGUGGGUUUAUAUGAUAUGCCCACUCUGAAAAUGUGGCUAAGUAUUCCAAUCAUAGCUGUUGCCAGUGUUUCCCACCAUUGCUGUAUACUCUUAGUAAAUGGUAGUUGUUAAAAAUAUAAAAUAGGCUUGCUUCAUGAGAAGAAGAAAGUACUUUCUCUUGUAAAGUUCCUUUAAGCAUUGGCAUAGUAAGUGUUCCUUUUCUCAUUGAUACCAUAGUUUUUUUACUGUGUUUUGUUUUGCUUUCUUCAGAUUUUAAAGGAAAAAUAAGGUGAUGUUGCUGAUUUUCAGAAAUAUUUUCAGCUUCAGAUAUCUGUGAUAAAAAUGAGAAAAAAGAAGUGGAUGUUCUGUCAGAAGGUAUUGGUGAGAUAGGAGACCCAGAAUUGGGAGAAGCAGCUUAGAUGGAGAGCAACUUAAAUGGGAGAAGUGAUGAACAUGCGUGAGAAAAAAGUGACUCUGCUCCCUUUGUGAUCGGGGCGAACAUGACUAACUGAUCCAGGAAUUUGUUUCAUUUGGUCACGAAUGGGCUUUGCAAAUCCUUCCUAAUGACAUGACAGUGUCACCUACUGGCAAAGCAGGACCCUAUGAGGCAUCUAAAGGGAGAUUUAGCCAGAUAUGUUGUUUAUCAGAAGCCAGGUACUUCCUCCACUUUUCAUCCUCCCUACUUUUCCUUUCUACAGAAAUGAUUUUUUUUCAGGACAGUAAUUUAAUAAACAUACAUACUUUGUGCUCAGCACUCUACUAAAUGCUUUUAUAUACAUUAUUUCAUUCUACAUUCACCAAAGUGUAAAGAGAUAGGUGCAUUUCCAUUUUCUAGAUGAGGCUCAGAGAGGUAAAACAACUUAAACAGACAGAAAGUUGUAGAAUUAAGAAUGAUACAUGUUAGACUCCAGAAAGCAUGCUCUUUAGCUCUGUAAUAGAUCAUUCUGUCUCUUCAGUUUAAAUGCAAGGGACAUUAAUACCUCUCUAGAAUUUUACUCAAUUCUAUUGUCUUCCUCCUAAUUUACUUCUUAACUACCUAAUUCUUGAAACGGAUUAGAAGCAGAUGUAAAGAAGUGUCCUUAUUUUCUUCUAGGUAUGUCUUUGCAUUAUUGAAGUGUAUCUCAUUCUUUAGAUUGCCUAGUCUUAAAGUCCAGGUGGCUAAGUUUAUUCAAGCAAUUAAUUGGUUGAUUGAGAGGUAAAAUACUAUAAAACUGAUUGAUUGACUAGCAUGACAAGACUCCGUAUAAAAGUGGAUGUAUUUGUUCAUCCAUUACCUAUUUCUUAACAUUUUCUAGAAAAUUAAGUAGCUACAAUAUACAAAAAUAGAAUAUAGCAUAAAUAUAAAUUAAAAGAUGUAAUAAUGAAUCUACUUUUACCAGGUGUAGUCCCAGCUACUUGGAAGGCUGAGGCAAGAGGAUCACUUGAGACGUUCAAGGCUGUAGUGCACCAUGAUUGCCCCUUGUGAAUAGCCACUGAACUCCAGCCUGAGCAACAAAGUGAGACCUCAUCUGUAAACAAACAAACAAAACUGCUCCUGAAUUUCAAUGUCAAUUUAUUGUAGAAAUCUUAAAAACUUAAUCCUCCUAAAAUAAUGCUGUUUUUAGGGGCAACACAUAAUUGUGUACAAUUUCAUGUUUCUUUUGAAGUGAUAAUUAAAAAUAAUUGAAACAGUUAUUAAAGAAUAAAGACAUUGUGACAAAGAAAUGACCGGGAACCACAUAAAGCAAGAUAUUUUGUACUUUCAAAUAAUGCUGAUUUUUAGGGCUAACAAGUUUCAGUAGUAGCUUAAUAAAUAUACAUUAAGAAAUGCCCUUUCUGAAUUCCAUUUUAUGAUGUUCAAGUACAAAAAAUAUUCAUCCAUUGCGACUUUGAACUGUGAAAUGGUCAAUGAAGAGGUGAGCGGCACUUAACUUGAAGCUAAUGUCUCAUCGAAUUGUUCGAACUUCACUCCUUGGUCAUAAGGUUUUCCAGAUCCAGAGCAAGGUAGCCAUAUGGCAUUGAUAUUCGAAAUACAAAGCCAAGUAUCGGUUUUAAAAACAGUAUUAUUGAUUUUUUUCUUCUUUUCCAAUUUUCUCUUUUUGAAAUUGUGCUGCUACAAAUUUGAAUUUUAAAAUGUCUUAUUUUUCAAAUUUGUAUUGUUUCAUCUAUUGAAUGGUUUUUACUUUAAGGAAGUUCAGAAAGUUUUUAUGUUCUCAGCCAUUCUUUUUUAUAGAAAAUAUCUUAAAAACUGAAAAGCCUCUGAAAGGCUCAGGUGAACGAAAAUAGAAAAAAAAGUAUCUAUCUCACUCUUCUUUUUAAUUCCUCUUUAAUGCUUCCCUUACAAAUAUAUUGGAAAGAAAACUAUUUAGGUGGUACAAGGCUUCUCCCUGGUUUCAUUUUUCUUGCUCGUAUAUACAAUUAAUUAUUUGUGGCAGCAUUAUUUUUACUUUGGAGCCCUGAUUUCCCACAAUUAUUGGUCUGAUGGAGCUCAGACCUGUGUUUCAGAGUUAAAUACUCUUCCAAGAAUUUCCACAUUAUAAAACUCCCCAACCAGCACUAAACUGUACACAUAAAAAUUGUAAAAAUGGUAAAUUAUAUAUGCAUAUUGUACCUUACAAUUUUUUUUAUAAAAAAUAAAGAUUUUUUUAAAAAAAACAAACAAAUACCUCCUGCCCCACAAAAAAAAUUUCUCACCCCAUCCAAGUACCAGUCACUAGACUCUAACAAACAGUUCGGAAUUCAACUGGUGUCCAAAAGGUUAACAACAUUACCAAGGUGAAGGAACCAAAUCGGUAUCAUACACUGGAGCCAUGGGGAAGCUUUUGGAACUAGGAUUUCUGAGAACUUUUUACCAUAUACAGCAGGGAAAUCUUUGUAAAAAGGAGGAAAUUGGUAUAGUAUAUUCUGCUGCUGGCACGAAACGUGUUUUUACCAAACUAAAGUAUCCUGUAGUUCAAAAAUGUUAUCACAAGAUUCCAUUUGUGUAUCUAUUUAAAGUUUUGGUAUAUUUUCAAUAAAAAUUAAUAAAAAUAUUUCUUCUCAUAAUAUGUGGUUUAAAUCCAGAUUAUUUCACAAUAUGUGGUUUAAAUCCAGAUUAUUUCACUGUAAUAUGUCUUGAUAGAGUUUUAGAAUAUUGAAAUAGGGUAUUAAGAUGCUUUAAAUCGAUUACUGAUUUGAACAUUGUAAGUGUAUAUUUCUAUUUGUGUGUGUGUGUCAUAUUCAAAUAUGAUUAAUCAUGUAUGUUGGUGUGUGAACAUAUGCAUAUAUAAAGCAUUUUUAUCAGCUGUUUCUGGCUUCAUACCACAG
rnacentral:lncRNA from 1 species